AGCGAACGCUGGCGGCGUGCCUAACACAUGCAAGUCGAACGUGAAAGGGAGCAAUCCUGAGUAAAGUGGCGUACGGGUGAGUAACACGUAGGUAAUCUAACCUAAAGCCUGGAAUAACCGGCCGAAAGGCUGGCUAAUACUGGAUAGAGCGAGGAAUCCGUAAAUGGGUUUUUCGGGAAAGGGAGGAAGCAAUUCCCUUCACUUUAGGAUGAGCCUGCGUCCCAUCAGCUAGUUGGUGAGGUAAUAGCUUACCAAGGCAAUGACGGGUAGCUGGUCUGAGAGGAUGAUCAGCCACACUGGAACUGAAACACGGUCCAGACUCCUACGGGAGGCAGCAGUGGGGAAUCUUGCGCAAUGGACGAAAGUCUGACGCAGCAACGCCGCGUGAGUGAAGAAGGCCUUAGGGUUGUAAAGCUCUGUCGCCCGGGACGAAAAAUUAUUAGGUGAAUAGCCUAGUAAUCUGACGGUACCGGGAAAGGAAGCACCGGCUAACUCCGUGCCAGCAGCCGCCGUAAAA
rnacentral:rRNA from 1 species